AAGAUAAUGACACACUCUAUCUGGCGAGGAUCGCCCCGGCUUGUCGCCGUUCACUCACUCCUUAAAGCUGGCAUUAUUUUUUGGCAACGUCUGGAUAAAAGUUGCUCGGUUGCAGAGCAAGCUGGGUGGAUUUUGGUUUCCUGUAAUUUUUCAAAUGGAACGCUAUACGUAGCUUUCUGUAAAAUGUAACGACUAGACCACCGUAAUUUUUCUGCACAAUCUGAGCGUCGAUUAGGGAGAAUUUACUGUACAUACAAAGCCGCAGCAAAGGUCACAGCUGUAAGCAAGAGUGACAGUGUCCGAAAGGUUAAAGAGCUUCCGAUAAAAUGAUGAAACUUGGAAGUGGUAACGGAAGAGGCUGAUAGCUCUGUUAACUAAGGUUUCCUACGUAAACCAGCAUUCUUGGGGUUUCUGCUCAUAGAAACUUUGAGAAGGCAAGAUCUGGUUUACCACGUAACAUACAUUACGUGUAGUAUAAUCAGGCUCGCAUGCAUACUAUACGCGUGGCGUCGUCUACUAAAUAUACGAAUGAAGAAGAGUUGAGAAACGCGAAAGCUCAAUCGUUCCGGAUGAAUUUGACGAAUUACAAGAUACGAGGAAAACGCUAACUGGUCAAAACGGAAAUCGAAGAUCGUACGUACGCCGGAAGUGUCGCCCCCGUGUAUCGAGACUCUUUGAAAGUGCGGCCUAAAGUAGUCAUCUUCGAGGUUGAAACUGUGGUCGACGUCGUCCGGAAUGUCGGGUCCCAGCGAAGGUUCAUAGUGGCUACGACGUUCCUCUAGGUCUUUGGCGGCUCUGGAAAAAGUAGAGGAGAAAAAUAUGGUUCUUCUCGCUUCGGCAAAGCAAACGGGAAUUGAACGCAAUGCGAUCAACGGUGUUAAUCGAAUUAAGAAGAGGGGACACACGAUGGGAUAGAAUAAUUCCUUUUUGGUGUGUUUUCUCAACGGUGGAAAGUCGACCGUGUGAUGUAAUUAUUCGUGGCUGGUUCGGUCCUCUUGCCAACCGAUCGAUCAGAAGAGUAAACGCAAUUACCGCGAGUAGGGCGGGAUAGAUCGGCGGCGAAUAUGACAACAAAGUGUACGCCGGACACAAUGAGAACGCCAUUAGGAAAUCGAAAUGACUAUGGGGUUUGUUGCGUUAAUUAGAUUUCGACUCUGUCGACGAAACGAAAUUCAAAGGAAUUCCAAGGAAUUCAAGUCGAAUGUCGCUCGAACAGCUGCUUUUUUU